AGUGAACGCUGGCGGUAGGCCUAACACAUGCAAGUCGAACGGCAGCACAGUAAGAGCUUGCUCUUACGGGUGGCGAGUGGCGGACGGGUGAGGAAUAUAACGGAAUCUACUUUUUCGUGGGGGAUAACGUAGGGAAACUUACGCUAAUACCGCAUACGACCUACGGGUGAAAGCAGGGGAUCUUCGGACCUUGCGCGAUUGAAUGAGCCGAUGUCGGAUUAGCUAGUUGGCGGGGUAAAGGCCCACCAAGGCGACGAUCCGUAGCUGGUCUGAGAGGAUGGUCAGCGACAAGGGAACUGAGCCACGGACCAGGCUCCUACGAGAGGCAGCAGAGUGGAAUAUGUGACAAUAGGCGCAAGCCUGAUCCAACCAGACCGCGUGGGUAGAGGAGACGUUCGGGUUGUAAAGACCUUUUGUUGGGAAAAAAAAGCAUCAGGUUAAUACCCCGCUAUUCUGACGGUACCCAAAGAAUAAGCACCGGCUAACUUCGUG
rnacentral:rRNA from 1 species